rnacentral:rRNA from 1 species
AGAGUUUGAUCCUGGCUCAGGACGAACGCUGGCGGCGUGCCUAAUACAUGCAAGUCGAACGAACUCUGGUAUUGAUUGGUGCUUGCAUCAUGAUUUACAUUUGAGUGAGUGGCGAACUGGUGAGUAACACGUGGGAAACCUGCCCAGAAGCGGGGGAUAACACCUGGAAACAGAUGCUAAUACCGCAUAACAACUUGGACCGCAUGGUCCGAGCUUGAAAGAUGGCUUCGGCUAUCACUUUUGGAUGGUCCCGCGGCGUAUUAGCUAGAUGGUGGGGUAACGGCUCACCAUGGCAAUGAUACGUAGCCGACCUGAGAGGGUAAUCGGCCACAUUGGGACUGAGACACGGCCCAAACUCCUACGGGAGGCAGCAGUAGGGAAUCUUCCACAAUGGACGAAAGUCUGAUGGAGCAACGCCGCGUGAGUGAAGAAGGGUUUCGGCUCGUAAAACUCUGUUGUUAAAGAAGAACAUAUCUGAGAGUAACUGUUCAGGUAUUGACGGUAUUUAACCAGAAAGCCACGGCUAACUACGUGCCAGCAGCCGCGGUAAUACGUAGGUGGCAAGCGUUGUCCGGAUUUAUUGGGCGUAAAGCGAGCGCAGGCGGUUUUUUAAGUCUGAUGUGAAAGCCUUCGGCUCAACCGAAGAAGUGCAUCGGAAACUGGGAAACUUGAGUGCAGAAGAGGACAGUGGAACUCCAUGUGUAGCGGUGAAAUGCGUAGAUAUAUGGAAGAACACCAGUGGCGAAGGCGGCUGUCUGGUCUGUAACUGACGCUGAGGCUCGAAAGUAUGGGUAGCAAACAGGAUUAGAUACCCUGGUAGUCCAUACCGUAAACGAUGAAUGCUAAGUGUUGGAGGGUUUCCGCCCUUCAGUGCUGCAGCUAACGCAUUAAGCAUUCCGCCUGGGGAGUACGGCCGCAAGGCUGAAACUCAAAGGAAUUGACGGGGGCCCGCACAAGCGGUGGAGCAUGUGGUUUAAUUCGAAGCUACGCGAAGAACCUUACCAGGUCUUGACAUACUAUGCAAAUCUAAGAGAUUAGACGUUCCCUUCGGGGACAUGGAUACAGGUGGUGCAUGGUUGUC